GACGAACGCUGGCGGCGUGCUUAACACAUGCAAGUCGAACGGGUCUGCCCUGUUUUUUGCGGGGUGGGUCAGUGGCGAACGGGUGAGUAACACGUGAGUAACCUGCCCCUCACUUCUGGAUAACCGCUUGAAAGGGUGGCUAAUACGGGGUGUUCUGGCUGUGCCGCAUGGUGUGGCUGGGAAAGAUUCACUUUUGUGGUGUUUUGGUGGGGGAUGGGCUCGCGGCCUAUCAGCUUGUUGGUGGGGGGAUGGCCUGCCAAGGCUUUGACGGGUAGCCGGCCUGGGAGGGUUGGCGGUCACACUGGGACUGAGAUACGGCCCAGACUCCUGCGGGAGGCAGCAGUGGGGGGUAUUGCACAAUGGGCGGAAGCCUGAUGCAGCGACGUCGCGUGAGGGAUGGAGGCCUUCGGGUUGUGAACCUCUUUCGCCGGUGAAGAAGGUCCUGCUCUUUGUGGUGGGGUUGACGGUAGCCGGGUUAUGAAGCGCCGGCUAACUACGUG
rnacentral:rRNA from 1 species